rnacentral:rRNA from 1 species
UGGUGUGAUCAUACCAGCACUAAUGCACCGGAUCCCAUUAGAACUCUGAAGUUAAACGUGCUUGGGCAAGAGUAGUACUAAGAUGGGUGACCUCUUGGGAAGUCCUCAUGUUGCACCCC